CCUACGGGUGGCAGCAGUGAGGAAUAUUGGUCAAUGGGCUUACGCCUGAACCAGCCAAGUCGCGUGAGGGAAGACUGCCCUAUGGGUUGUAAACCUCUUUUGUCAGGGAGCAACGCCGGCUACGUGUAGCCGGACUGAGAGUACCUGAAGAAAAAGCAUCGGCUAACUCCGUGCCAGCAGCCGCGGUAAUACGGAGGAUGCGAGCGUUAUCCGGAUUUAUUGGGCGAAAAGGGUGCGUAGGUGGUUUCUUAAGUCAGAGGUGAAAGGCUACGGCUCAACCGUAGUAAGCCUUUGAAACUGGGGAACUUGAGUGCAGGAGAGGAGAGUGGAAUUCCUAGUGUAGCGGUGAAAUGCGUAGAUAUUAGGAGGAACACCAGUUGCGAAGGCGGCUCUCUGGACUGUAACUGACACUGAGGCACGAAAGCGUGGGGAGCAAACAGGAUUAGAUACCCUAGUAGUC
rnacentral:rRNA from 1 species